rnacentral:rRNA from 1 species
CAAUAGCGUAUAUUUAAGUUGCUGCAGUUAAAAAGCUCGUAGUUGGAUUUCGGGUGGGAAUGGCCGGUCCGCCGUUUCGGUGUGCACUUGCUACGCCCACCUUGCUGCCGGGGACGUGCUCUUGAGUUCACGCUCGGGACACGGAGUCGGCGAGGUUACUUUGAGUAAAUUAGAGUGUUCAAAGCAGGCCUACGCUCUGAAUACAUUAGCAUGGAAUAACACGAUAGGACUCUGGCCUAUCUUGUUGGUCUGUAGGACCGGAGUAAUGAUUAAGAGGGACAGACGGGGGCAUUCGUAUUUCAUUGUCAGAGGUGAAAUUCUUGGAUUUAUGAAAGACGAACUACUGCGAAAGCAUUUGCCAAGGAUGUUUUCAUUAA